rnacentral:lncRNA from 1 species
CGGUACGUUUUUUGUGUUGAUGUGAUGUUUCGCGGUGGUUUCGAGUGAAUCCGGUUCGGAUUUGUUGAUUUUGUGAUGAUUUGAGUUGGUUUUGAGUGAAUCCGGUUCGGAUUUGUUGAUUUUGUGAAGAUUUGUUCUUGGUGUUCUUGGAGAAUUUUUGGUGAUUUUCUGUUUUGGAUCUAACUGAUUUUGGAGAGAGAAAGAAAUUUCUGUUUUUGUGAUGUGACUGAUUCUUUUUUUUUUAUUUGGAUCUGACACCUCUAUUUAUAGCCUGCCAUGUGUAUUUGUGGGCCAAUGAGAAAAUGCCAUCUGGACUGGGACUGAAGUGUGCGAAAAUUCUGGACAAAAAUGCCCCUGGGACCUUUUCUGCAAAAAAAAUAAUAAAAAAGGACUGGACAGCAAUUAAAAAUGGACAAAAAAUAAGAAUUAAAAAGUUUUGGACUAAAUUGUGAUUUAAAAAUAAAAUUGAACUAAAAAAAGUAAUUUUGACAAACGUAAAGUGAAACUAAACUUAAAAUCAACAAAAGGACUAAAACGAACCAAUUACUGACAUGAGGUAUUUUAAAAUACCUUCCUGUCGAAAUUUUGUGUGAAAUGACCAAAAUGCCCCUAGGGCUAAAAACGACCUAAACAGAUUCAAAUUGACCUGACACUGACUUAGACGCAAAUUUGAAAUGAAUUUUAACAAGGUCUACUGAUG